rnacentral:rRNA from 1 species
AGCUCCAAUAGCGUAUAUUAAAGUUGUUGCAGUUAAAAAGCUCGUAGUUGGAUUUCUGGUUUGGGCCGCCGGUCCGCCCCUCACGGGGUGUGCACUAGUCGCGGACCCCGAGCCAUCCUCGUGGAGAGCGGCCCUGUCAUUAAGUUGUCGGGGUCGGGAUUCACGUCGUUUACUGUGAAAAAAUUAGAGUGUUUAAAGCAGGCAAUUGCUGUGAAUACAUUAGCAUGGAAUAAUAAGAUAGGACUUUGGUGCUAUUUUGUUGGUUUGCACGCCAAAGUAAUGAUUAACAGGGACAGUUGGGGGUAUUCGUAUUUAAUUGUCAGAGGUGAAAUUCUUGGAUUUAUGAAAGACGAACUACUGCGAAAGCAUUUACCAAGGAUGUUU